UACGUAGGGGGCAAGCGUUGUCCGGACUUACUGGGCGUAAAGCGCGUGCAGGCGGAUUGGUAUGUGCCGUGUGAAAGCUCCCAGCUUGCCUGGGAGAGGUCGCGGUAGACAGCCGAUCUGGAGGCUCGGAGAGGUUAGUGGAAUUCCCGGUGUAGUGGUGAAAUGCGUAGAGAUCGGAAAGAACACCAACGGCGAAAGCACUCUGCUGGGCCGACACUGACACUGAGAGACGAAAGCUAGGGGAGCGAACGGG
rnacentral:rRNA from 1 species